rnacentral:rRNA from 1 species
AUGAACGCUGGCGGCGUGCCUAAUACAUGCAAGUCGAGCGAACAGACGAGGAGCUUGCUCCUCUGACGUUAGCGGCGGACGGGUGAGUAACACGUGGAUAACCUACCUAUAAGACUGGGAUAACUUCGGGAAACCGGAGCUAAUACCGGAUAAUAUAUUGAACCGCAUGGUUCAAUAGUGAAAGACGGUUUUGCUGUCACUUAUAGAUGGAUCCGCGCCGCAUUAGCUAAUUGGUAAGGUAACGGCUUACCAAGGCAACGAUGCGUAGCCGACCUGAGAGGGUGAUCGGCCACACUGGAACUGAGACACGGUCCAGACUCCUACGGGAGGCAGCAGUAGGGAAUCUUCCGCAGUGGGCGAAAGCCUGACGGAGCAACGCCGCGUGAGUGAUGAAGGUCUUCGGAUCGUAAAACUCUGUUAUUAGGGAAGAACAAAUGUGUAAGUAACUAUGCACGUCUUGACGGUACCUAAUCAGAAAGCCACGGCUAACUACGUG